UCCGCCCACGGCGCGCCGCUGCCGCAAGAGCGAGGACGCCGCUUAUGAUGCUUCCCUCAAAGCACAGCUCCAUCUUGACCGCACUAAUCUGCCGCGGACGCCGCACCUUCUCCGUCGCGUCCUUCAGCCGGAACCGCCGCGCGGUCUCGCCACUCGCACCGGACGAUUACACCUUCCCUUUGCUCCUCAAGGAGGCCGCCGCCGAAGCCGCAGGGGCCUCGGGGCGCAGGAGCUCGAUCGAGGGCCAGAAGCUCCACGCCGGAGUUAUCAAGUUCGGUUUCUCCUCCUGCGUCUACGCCUCGACCGCUCUCGUGGAUUUCUAUUCCAAGUCUGGCGACCUGACCUCCGCGCGCGUAGUGUUCGACGAAAUGCCGCGCCGAUCGCUGCCUUCCUGGACGGCCAUCAUGGUCGGGUACGCCAGGAGUGGAGAUAUGAGGUCCGCGGAAGAGGUCUUCUCGUUGAUGCCGGAAAAGGAUAUUCCGGCUUACAAUGCCAUGAUUGAUGGUUUUGUGAAGGUCGGUGAUGUUCCCUCGGCACAGAAGGUGUUUGAUGCAAUGCCAGAGAGGAACGUGGUUUCUCGGACUUCCUUGAUGCACGGUUAUUGCAUGGAUGGGAAUACGGAGGCUGCUAGGUUGUUGUUUGAUGCGAUGCCACGAAGGAGGAAUUUGCACUCUUGGAAUGUGAUGAUCAGGGGCUACUGCCGCAACCGGGAGUCUGGGAAGGCACUGAAACUUUUUAGGGAAUUGCAGUCCCAAUCAUGCCCAUUUGAGCCAAAUGAAGUGACACUUGUAAGUGUUAUCCCUGCAAUCACUGAUACUGGUGCUAUGGACCUUGGACGGUGGGUACACGAGUUUGCUAGGAGAAAGGGAUUGGAUCGGAGGGCUAAUGUUGCCACAGCACUAAUCGACAUGUAUUUGAAAUGUGGAAAUGCAGAUGAAGCUAAGCGAGUGUUUAAUCAAUUGAAUCCUAAGGAUGCCACAUGUUGGAAUGCUAUAAUAAAUGGUCUUGCAGUGAAUGGCCAUUCCAGGGAGGCUCUUGGUUUGUUUGAGGAAAUGCGAAGAAAUGGGAUUUCCCCUAAUAGUGUGACCAUGAUUGGAGUUCUGUCAGCUUGCAACCAUGGGGGGCUUGUGAACGAAGGUAGGCAGUGGUUUCAGGAAAUGGAGGUGCUAGGGAUCAGCAAAAAGGUAGAGCAUUAUGGAUGCAUGGUGGACCUUCUAGGACGCUGUGGGUAUUUGGGUGAAGCCAUGGAGUUGAUUGAAAAAAUGCCCUCUGGACCCAAUGGCAUAGUGCUAAGCUCAUUGCUCUUUGCUUGUGCGUGCCAUGGUGCUGUAGAUAUGGCAGAGGGUGUUAUGAAGAGUGCGGUUGAGGUGGAGCCAAGGAACAUUGGGAAUUAUAUUAUCAUGAGGAAUCUAUAUGCUGCAAAGAAGAUGUGGCGUGAUGCGUUGAAUAUGAAAGAUGAGAUAAAUAAGCUUGGGGGUAAAAAAGAGGCUGGAUGCAGUCUUGUUGAGAUUGGUACCAGUGUUUCAGAGUUUGUUUCUGGGGACAAGGCUCAUCAAGACUGGGAGGUCAUAUGUGACAUUAUUGGGUGCCUUCGAUUGCAUAUGGGUGUUCCCACAGAGGAAGAAUUUGAUUUCACCGGACUUAUUUUCUGAGUAAAUUUUUGCGCUGACAUCAUAAGAGAGGAGAGUAGGAGACUGACCAGGCAUUUGUAUGAAAUGGUCUCCCUAGGGGUUCAAAUUUAUGACUGUCUAUUGGAAACCAUGGUAGCAGACGCAGCAUAUUGCAAUUCCAAAUGGAGUAUAUAAUGGUGACACUGCUUUGGGUCGGCUUCUUCCAUGCCAUGCAUUGGUUAAAUUCUCUAUAGCCAGUCACUAUGAGAAUGAUAUGACAUCAUCUUUUUUUAGAACAAUGAUAUGGCAUCAUUGAGAUAGAGCAGAAGCCUGCUUUUUUUUUAUUCUACUGAUCAGAUACUAGUGCUACAAAAGAUUCUUCUUUGUAGCCUUACUGGGUGGAUUUAUGUUUGAUGGUCACUAGUCUGGGCUGUUUGCCACAGGUUUGGACCAGGACGUCAGACAAUAAUCUGCUGAGAAAAAGAUCACUAGCUCAUUGAAUAACACAUAUUUGAAUGUGCAAUAUUUAUAGAAAUAGCAUGACCUUCGAAUCUUCUUGCUUGCAAUGUGGAAUAUUUAGCAUACGCAUAGCCUGACCUUCUGAAUUGGCAUAUCAUUAUAUCAAAUUAUGGCUACAUCAGCUGAAGAUUUAUCCCUCAAGAGUUACCGCUGAUAUGCCGCGCUUGGAAUUAAGCAGUUCCAUGGAGGAUUUUGCAUGUGCUAUCAUUUGAUUGGGAAGCAUUGUUAUCAUUUCACAGCUGAUGUUUGCAAGUGUCUGAUGCGAAAGACUCCACAUUGGGUCUAUUUUGCAACUUUCUCUACCUGAAAAACAUCGAAGUUUCAGUGGUCCUCCACAGAACUUAACAUUUCUGCACCACACACUGAAUAUAAGGCCUUGUUUGGAACGAAGUAUUUUUGGAGGAAAUGCUGCUGUUCCUUUGGGUUGGGGAUUCCUGUACUUUGGCUUGAAAAGCACAGUAAGAGCUAAGAAACUGACAUCCGGAACUAUGCCCCAAUAGGUGUGACUGAUAUGCCACCCUCUAGAAUUCUGACAGUUACAUGCUGGACCUUGAAGGCAUUACCACGGCACCACAUAUUAUUUGACAUGUAAUCUAAUAAUUGCAAGCAUCUGAUGUAAAAGCAUAUUCCAGGAUGGUUACACCGACUUUGUUAGAUCAGGUUUAUUUUUGAGCUGUCCACUGCAUGAAAGCAUUAGGAGAACAUCGGCAAUAUAACAACGGUAUUGCUUGCUGAAAUGGUUUUUAUUCUACGACUAACUGUGCGAGCUGGUCCCUUCAAAUUCAGUAGAGGAGCCUACCAAUGAAUUGCUUGUGGGCAACAUCUUUCUUUUUUAGCAAUUUUGCAUGACUCAAUCCAGCACAAACUUGGAGAACAGACAAAGCAAUACCAUUUCUUGUAAGCAAUGUGGGUGAUGGCUUGAUGCGUUGAUCUGAAAUACAAGGCACGCCCAGAAGUAGCUUCACUGACAUGUGGUUCUACAAACAUGGGACCCGGCUUUGCUUGGUGAAGUUGCCGUCGACACGUGGACCAUACACGUGGGGCCCGCGUGCUAGGGUCUGUUAGAUGCCAUAGCCAUUGCCAUUUGCCAGUUUGCAAUUGCAACCUGCUCUCGCUCAGCCGUCAAUGCGAAACACGCCAACUACCAGACAACUGGACUACUGGAGUGAGCCCAGCCCACCAACCCUCUCCUAGCACGUCUGACGCGUGGGCCCACAAGACAACGGCACCCAACCGCCUCUCUCAGUCUGACUCUGAUGGUCUGACCCCCUUUCUGGCUUCGUCCGCUCCGCUCUUCUCCAUCGAUUCAGAGCUCGCGAGACCCAAAUCCUGUCGACGCUUCGCUUAACUCGGGGAGAGGCGGCGGGCACGGGAGGCGAACCCCAACCCUAGUCCCCCUCCCCGCCGUGGGCGCCGAU